rnacentral:rRNA from 1 species
GACGAACGCUGGCGGCGUGCCUAAUACAUGCAAGUCGAACGCUGAAGAGAGGAGCUUACUCUUCUUGGAUGAGUUGCGAACGGGUGAGUAACGCGUAGGUAACCUGCCUUGUAGCGGGGGAUAACUAUUGGAAACGAUAGCUAAUACCGCAUAACAAUGGAUGACACAUGUCAUUUAUUUGAAAGGGGCAAUUGCUCCACUACAAGAUGGACCUGCGUUGUAUUAGCUAGUAGGUGAGGUAAUGGCUCACCUAGGCGACGAUACAUAGCCGACCUGAGAGGGUGAUCAGCCACACUGGGACUGAGACACGGCCCAGACUCCUACGGGAGGCAGCAGUAGGGAAUCUUCGGCAAUGGGGGCAACCCUGACCGAGCAACGCCGCGUGAGUGAAGAAGGUUGUCGGAUCGUAAAGCUCUGUUGUAAGUCAAGAACGGGUGUGAGAGUGGAAAGUUCACACUGUGACGGUAGCUUACCAGAAAGGGACGGCUAACUACGUG